rnacentral:rRNA from 1 species
CCCUUAGAUGUUCUGGGCUGCACGCGCGCUACACUGAUACUUUCAGCGAGUCCACCACCUUGCCUGAGAGGGUGGGGUAACCUCUGGAAAGUGUAUCGUGAUGGGGAUCGAUUAUUGUAAUUAUUAAUCUUCAACGAGGAAUUCCUAGUAAGCAUGUGUCAUCAGCCCGUGCUGAUUACGUCCCUGCCCUUUGUACACACCGCCCGUCGCUCCUACCGAUGAGUCGUCCGGUGAAGUUCGUAGACCUCGUGAUCGCGGAUCACUGGGGGAAGCAAAAUGAACCUCGCGGUUUAGAGGAAGGAGAAGUCGUAACA